CCUACGGGGGGCUGCAGUGGGGAAUAUUGGACAAUGGGGGCAACCCUGAUCCAGCCAUGCCGCGUGUGUGAAGAAGGCCCUCGGGUUGUAAAGCACUUUCAGUGAGGAAGAACGCCUGGUGGUUAAUACCCAUCAGGAAAGACAUCACUCACAGAAGAAGCACCGGCUAACUCCGUGCCAGCAGCCGCGGUAAUACGGAGGGUGCGAGCGUUAAUCGGAAUUACUGGGCGUAAAGCGCGCGUAGGUGGCUUGAUAAGCCGGUUGUGAAAGCCCCGGGCUCAACCUGGGAACGGCAUCCGGAACUGUCAAGCUAGAGUGCAGGAGAGGAAGGUAGAAUUCCCGGUGUAGCGGUGAAAUUCGUAGAGAUCGGGAGGAAUACCAGUGGCGAAGGCGGCCUUCUGGACUGACACUGACACUGAGGUGCGAAAGCGUGGGUAGCAAACAGGAUUAGAUACCCCAGUAGUC
rnacentral:rRNA from 1 species